rnacentral:misc_RNA from 1 species
CGCACAUUGCGCCCAUGAGUAUUCUCUUGGGCAUGCCUGUUCGAGCGUCAUUUCAACCCUUAAGCCUAGCUUAGUGUUGGGAACCUACUGCGAGAGCUACCCUAUAGCACUCAAGUACCCUGUAGCUCCCGAAAAUCAACGGCGGAUUUGCAGCGUCCUCUGAGCGUAGUAAUCACCAUCUCGCUUCUGUCAGGCGCUGUAGCUCUAGCCGCUAAACCCCCAAACUUCAAUGGUUGACCUCGGAUCAGGUAGGAAUACCCGCUGAACUUAA